rfam:Fusobacterium varium ATCC 27725 genomic scaffold supercont2.10, whole genome shotgun sequence.
CGUUAGAAUAUUGAGAAGAUCUGUCCUUAGUACGAGAGGACCGGGAUGGACAAACCUCUGAUGUACCAGUUGUCACGCCAGUGGCACAGCUGGGUAGUCACGUUUGGAACGGAUAACCGCUGAAAGCAUCUAAGCGGGAAACCAGCUUCAAGAUAAGUAUUCUUUAAGACUCCUUCGAGACUAGAAGGUUGAUAGGUUGGGGGUGUAAGGGCUGCGAGGCUUUUAGCUGACCAAUACUAAUAAGUCAAAGUUUUAACCUA